rnacentral:rRNA from 1 species
AACGUAGGGUGCAAGCGUUGUCCGGAAUUACUGGGUGUAAAGGGAGCGCAGGCGGAAUAGCAAGUUGGAAGUGAAAACCAUGGGCUCAACCCAUGACCUGCUUUCAAAACUGCUGUUCUUGAGUGGUGCAGAGGUAGGCGGAAUUCCCGGUGUAGCGGUGGAAUGCGUAGAUAUCGGGAGGAACACCAGUGGCGAAGGCGGCCUACUGGGCACUAACUGACGCUGAGGCUCGAAAGCAUGGGUAGCAAACAGG